rnacentral:rRNA from 1 species
UACGGAGGGUCCAAGCGUUAUCCGGAAUCAUUGGGUUUAAAGGGUCCGUAGGCGGUUUUGUAAGUCAGUGGUGAAAGCCCAUCGCUCAACGGUGGAACGGCCAUUGAUACUGCAAGACUUGAAUUAUUGGGAAGUAACUAGAAUAUGUAGUGUAGCGGUGAAAUGCUUAGAGAUUACAUGGAAUACCAAUUGCGAAGGCAGGUUACUACCAAUAUAUUGACGCUGAUGGACGAAAAGCGUGGGGAGCCGAACGAG